rnacentral:rRNA from 1 species
AGAGUUUGAUCCUGGCUCAGAACGAACGCUGGCGGCGUGCCUAACACAUGCAAGUCGAGCGCGAAAGUCCCUUCGGGGGCGAGUAGAGCGGCGGACGGGUGAGUAAUACAUAGGUAAUCUACCUUCGAGCUUGGGAUAACCCCGCGAAAGUGGGGCUAAUACCGGAUAAGACCACGCAACCAUGUUGCGGGGUAAAAGGUGGCUUAUUUUUUAAAUGAGCUAUCACUUGAGGAUGAGCCUAUGGCCUAUCAGCUUGUUGGCGGGGUAAAAGCCCACCAAGGCUAUGACGGGUAGCUGGUCUGAGAGGACGAUCAGCCACACUGGGACUGAGACACGGCCCAGACUCCUACGGGAGGCAGCAGUGGGGAAUAUUGGGCAAUGGGCGAAAGCCUGACCCAGCGACGCCGCGUGGGCGAUGAAGGCCUUCGGGUUGUAAAGCCCUGUCAUGCGGAAAGAACGACCCUGUGACGCAUACUCACAGGGAGUGACGGUACCGCAGGAGGAAGCACCGGCUAACUCCGUGCCAGCAGCCGCGGUAAUACGGAGGGUGCAAGCGUUGUUCGGAAUUAUUGGGCGUAAAGGGCGCGUAGGCGGUAAUGUAAGUCAGAUGUGAAAUACUCCGGCUCAACCAGAGAACAGCAUCUGAAACUGCAUAACUAGAGUACAGAAGAGGGAAACGGAAUUCCCGGUGUAGAGGUGAAAUCUGUAGAUAUCGGGAGGAACACCAGUGGCGAAAGCGGCUCUCUGGUCCGGCUCUGACGCUGAACUGCGAAAGCUCGGGGAGCAAACAGGAUUAGAUACCCUGGUAGUCCGAGCCGUAAACG